GCCGUUGUGACAUAGUGGUUUGAGUGUUUGACUAUGACUCGGGAGAACAGGGUUCAAUUCCCCACUCAGUCUCA